rnacentral:tRNA from 2 species
GGAGAGGUGGCCGAGUUGGUCUAAGGCGCGCGCCUGGAAAGUGCGUAAACUCCAAAAGGGUUUCGCGGGUUCGAAUCCCGCCUUCUCCGCCA